GAUGAACGCUGGCGGCAUGCCUAACACAUGCAAGUCGAACGAGACCUUCGGGUCUAGUGGCGCACGGGUGCGUAACGCGUGGGAAUCUGCCCUUGGGUUCGGAAUAACAGUUAGAAAUGACUGCUAAUACCGGAUGAUGACUUCGGUCCAAAGAUUUAUCGCCCAGGGAUGAGCCCGCGUAGGAUUAGCUUGUUGGUGAGGUAAAAGCUCACCAAGGCGACGAUCCUUAGCUGGUCUGAGAGGAUGAUCAGCCACACUGGGACUGAGACACGGCCCAGACUCCUACGGGAGGCAGCAGUGGGGAAUAUUGGACAAUGGGCGAAAGCUUGAUCCAGCAAUGCCGCGUGAGUGAUGAAGGCCUUAGGGUUGUGAAGCUCUUUCGCCAGGGAAGAUAAUGACGGUACCUGGAAAAGAAGCCUCGGCUAACUCCGUGCCAGCAGCCGCCGUAAAAC
rnacentral:rRNA from 1 species